rnacentral:rRNA from 1 species
UACUCGAGUGGCGAACGGGUGAGUAACACGUGGGUGAUCUGCCCUGCACUCUGGGAUAAGCCUGGGAAACUGGGUCUAAUACCGGAUAGGACCAUGCUUUAGUGUGUGUGGUGGAAAGUUUUUUCGGUGUAGGAUGAGCCCGCGGCCUAUCAGCUUGUUGGUGGGGUAAUGGCCCACCAAGGCGGCGACGGGUAGCCGGACUGAGAGGUUGGUCGGCCACAUUGGGACUGAGAUACGGCCCAG